UCAUAUCGAUAAGGUGUAGGUGCUGAUUUUUUUGUCAGCUUAAAAGGGAAGCCGGUUAAACUCCGGCGCGGUCCCGCCACUGUAAAUGGGAGUGACCUGCUUAAUCCACUGUGCGGCAAUGCAUGGGAAGGAGCGGGGAGCGAUGAUCAUGAGCCAGGAGACCUGCCUCACACCUCGUCACCGC
rnacentral:ncRNA from 2 species